UUUACUCAUAUAAAUAAAGGUCGUGUAAAUGAUAGCGUGAAACGAUGACUUGACCUAAUUGAAAAUGAAGACUGACUACUGGCUUUGAGAAACGAUGGCACAAGAACGACGACCAAAUAUCUCCCUGAUGAGUUACAACCGAGUUAACCCGAGUCCACUCGUUCUGCUCAUCAUUCUCAAGAGGCCACCGAAGGUUCGUGUGAGCCACGAUAGCAUACCGUUCCGCUUCUUCACCAAGCCCGUCAUAUUCACAAUGCUGAAAAGUCACACUCAUUGCAGAUGGAAUCUCGACGAAGUGAACGGCUCGAUCUCGGCGUCGGUUGGGUAAAGGAAGCUUCGAGUAGCUUCGUGGACGGAAGGGACGCCUCUCACGGCGACGGCGCCGAGUCCGGUCGGGAGGAUCGAGCUCAAGGGGACAGAACUGUUGAAGUACUUUGAAUAGUUAUUCAUGACAGUGCCAGGGCCGGCCCAAUAUGAACAAGGGUCCUUGGGCAAAACCUUACUUGGGGCCUAUAAUUAGUUUAUUUUUAGUGUUGACAAAAACUUUUAGUUAUUUUUAAGCGAUACUAUUAUUCUUUUGGGCUUUUGUGCAUCAAAACAUGCACAUCUUUAUAUAUAAAAGAAGCUUUUCAUCCCUUCUGGGGUGUUCACCUCAUCAUCCACGUCACUAAUUCAAACCUUCUCGCGUCGACACGUCAGAAACUCACCGUUUCAUUAAACGCGUAUCAUGAUGGGCUUGCUUCGUCAAUUGCGUGUUUGGGCUCUGCAUUUGGUCUCUGUAACCGGCCCGAGAAGAGGUGCGUCCUCUCCUUUCCUCCGACGACGGCGCAUGACGUCUAAGCUUCCUUUCCCAGACUGAAACUGAUGGAGUCGUAACUUCGUGUUUAUUCCAAUUAAUUCCAUCACUCACUAUGAAGUCUUCAAUGCAUCGUUCGUAUCUCAGAGGCGGUGUGAAAUCUGUAUAAAUAUGCAAAGCUCCAAAAAGUUAGGUUGGUGAGAAGCCAUUUCUAUCAAUUUCAACAGUUUUCAGGCAGCCCGAAACAGUGUAUUUCUUGCUGUUUCAGCAGUGUUAUAUGCAACAAUAACUAUCCAAGAUUCACGGUGCUGUUACUGUAUAGCCAGUGUGGCUGCAUCUGUUGCUGCUAUCGCAGCCUCCCCCACCAUGUUCUUCGAUCUCUGGGAAGGAUGAGCAGAUAGAUAAAACUGACAUGGCCAUUUCUUCUGCUGCGACCCUUGCUGAUGCUCAGUGUAUGGAGGCUUCUGAAGUGAUUAGAGCUGAGAAAGAGUAUUUGGCCUCUGUUGUCAGAACCGCCAUCAGUGUUCAUUCUGCCAGAGAUAUCAUGACAUUCACUGCCGGUGUACCACAGUGUUAAGAUGAGUGGCGACACUGAAAGUGAGGGCUAUGAAAGAAGUUUGGAACAUUGCAUCAGAGUUUACAGGGAUAAAAAAACUCACUACUUCUGAAGGAUGCAGUAACAUUAGUAAUUGUAGCAAUGGAAGCUUGAGUAGUAGUCAGAGUAGCGAACUUAUACAAGGGAUAAGCUCUUGGUAAUGAGUGGCAGAGAAUGGCUUGCAAGAGGCUGUCAACUGCUCAAACGUACUUGCCAAGGUAAUGAAGAUUAUCUUUUCUGUUUGGUUUAGUUUACAUUUCAAGUCUUGGAUAUUUUUUUCCUAAUACUUUGUUACUUUUGGAAGUGAUCGCCGCUGAAAAAUAGUUCAUGUUUAAAUCAACACUCUGAUGAAAUAAAUAAAACAGAGCCAAGUUUGUGAAUAAGUGGAAAUUUUUUUAGCUUACUUUACAUGGAUGUGAAUUUGUUAUAUGAAACACACAGAGAUUUGUUUGAAAAAAACACACAGAGACAUUUCAAAUGGCAGGAUAAGAAGAGAAAGCAGAAACAAAGCUAAAGCUGAUAUAAAAAAGCAUACUUUGUGACAAGGAUGAUGAUAAGGUAUGUCUUGGUAAUAGCCAAGAUGAAAGACUGUUAAAGAUAUGUCUUGGGAUUGUUAUUUAUGCUUUUUAGUAUUGGUUUAUUUUGUGGAAAAAGUCUUUUUCGAUCAUAUAUAUGUUUAUGCUAAGUUUGUAAUUCUCAUGAUCUUUUUGCGAUUUGACUUUUGGUGGAAUGUCUCUUUAAUAGUUGAAGUGUUUACUUUUUAAUUUGCCUUUUCUACCAUGAUCUCUUUACUCA